AAAUCAUCUCAUGUACCCCCAAAAUAUAUACAUCUACUAGGUACCCAGAAAAAUAAAACAUAAAAAGUUAAAAACCCUUGUCAGUUAAUUCUAACAUCUUUUUCCUCUUGAUGUUGGAAUUUGUUGAUUGCCUUUUCUCAUGUAAGUUGAGAUUUUAUGAAGAGCAAUUUUUGAUCGAAACCUGGACGUUGGGAUAUUAUGUUAUAAAAUUCAGGUUAUUAUUUAAUCUUCUGUUCUAGCUGGUCUCCUCUGACACUGUUUUGGUAGGGGAAGGGGAUGCUGCUUCAUUCCUAACAGGUGGGAGUGGAAAUACAGGUUCUCUCCACUUUGCCUCUGGGGACACCCAAGGGGAGAGCUCCUCAUCACUGCUGGGAGGGGAGAUUUUAGACUCCUUACCUGGCCUCUGCAGAUACCACCCUGGCCAGGAGGGGCAGAAAUAUCUUGAUAUUGCUUCCAUGCAGAUUCCACUGACACUGCAUGGGGAGUGGCCUUGGUACUGCUGGGGGAGGGAAAAAGUCCUGGCUGUCCAGCAGGCCUCCUGUGACACUAGCCCUAGAGAAGAAGAGAAGAGCCUCACUGCAGCCUGCAGAGAUAUGACAGUGAGCCUGGAAAACUGGCCUGAAUCAAAUGAGAAUUUAAACCUGCUGGAAUGCUUAAGUGACCUUAGCCUGGAGGUCUCUCUCUCGCUCUGCUUCUCCCUCCCUGUCUCUGGAAGCUGCUGAAGCAUCAGACUUAAGCCCAGGAGUGAAGGCCAGGCAUCUUAGAGAGCAAUACAAGCUGUCGACCUGCCACUUCUGCUUCUAUUAAUAGCUGGGCAAAGGAGAUCUUCCUUCAGAGACUCCACAUGGGCCUCCAGGUUGGAUUUGCACAAGGUCAGCUCACCCAGGAUCCCACGCAGGCCGCUGAUGUCAGCCUCCAACAGCUGGCGAAGGGACAGUUCACUGUCGUACCUUUCACAGCAAAAGAGAAAUCCAGUGCUUACUCUGUUGAAUGCUGUGCAAAGUGUGGGGAUACAUGGAGAAUCGACAUAUGGACUUCAGGAAGCCACAUGCAGAAUUUCUCUUAAUUCCUGAGAAAUGAUAAAUUCAAGCUUUUAAGACAU